GAUGAACGCUGGCGGCGUGCCUAAUACAUGCAAGUCGAACGCAUAGCGAAAGGUGCUUGCACCUUUCAGGUGAGGGGCGAACGGUGGAGUAACAGGGGGACAACCUGCUUCAAGGCUGGGGAUAACAUUGGGAAACAGAUGCUAAUACCGAAUAAAACUUAAUGUCGCAUGACCAAAAGUUAAAAGGGGCUUUGGCGUCACCUAGAGAUGGAUCCGCGGUGCAUUAGUUAGUUGGUGGGGUAAAGGCUUACCAAGACAAUGAUGCAUAGCCGAGUUGAGAGGCUGAUCGGCCACAUUGGGACUGAGACACGGCCCAGACUCCUACGGGAGGCUGCAGUAGGGAAUCUUCCACAAUGGGCGAAAGCCUGAUGGAGCAACGCCGCGUGUGUGAUGAAGGCUUUCGGGUCGUAAAGCACUGUUGUAUGGGAAGAACAGCUAGAAUAGGAAAUGAUUUUAGUUUGACGGUACCAUACCAGAAAGGGACGGCUAAAUACGUG
rnacentral:rRNA from 1 species